AGUGCGCAUUGCCUACCCCGUGCUACAGGACUUCGCUGAGCGCCAGGCGCAGGGACUGGACGCAUACGGACCCCCGGGAGCCCCGGAACUCGCGUUCCCACGCCAGACCUCAUCCCCUUCUGACAGAGACGCCCUCGUCCCACCGUCGCCGCAGGCGCCAGGGGUCCCUCCCCACCGCCGAGGUCUAGCCGCCGCCCGCCCGCCUUCAGGGCAGCGCGGGGACCCCCUGGCCCUCGCCCAGUGCUCCGGGGCUCACCCGCCGCUCCUCGCCGCCUCCGGAGGCGAGGGAUUGUUUCCCACAAGGGACUGGAGUCCAGGGAAGGACUCGCCUGGAGCGGGAGGCGGGGAUGCACAUGCGCAGAGGGAGAGGCCGAGCGCCCGAGUUAGGCUGGUGGAUGCGAUGCGGGGCUUGGAAGCGGCGCUAGACGGUGCCUGUCAGCUCUGGCCGCAACCCUCAGUUGUAAAAUGAGGCUGAUAGUGCCUACCUAGCAGGGGUUUUAUGAGAAUUGGAGGCGCUUACGUUGUAAAAGCAUUUAAACCGGUGUCUGACACAUAAAUUGUUCAGUAUAUUUCUCACAAUUAUAUAUCAUGCUGGUCAUCAUAAGGCUCUCCUGCAAAACAGCCUUGUAUAGUGGGUUGAGAGAUUACUGUCUCAGUUACCCACUCCUGCUUGGAACCAGGAUUCUGUCAGUGUCCCCAGAGGUUGUGGAUCAAAUCAAUGUGCCUGUUAGACACAAGCCAAGAGAAGGAAAGGUGUGCUUGAAUUCAUUCACGAUCAUGCAUGGUAACGUUUAACUGAAAGACUGGAAGAGAAAACUAAAAUCUGUGACCAGUAUGGUUAUUCUCUGGAAUAAGGAAAAACAGAAGCUAGCAAUUCAAGACCCAAACAUAAAAUUGUUUAUAUGUUUAAAAAAAAAAAAGCCGUUUGAGUAACAAAUUUGAAGAAGAAAGCACGCACUCAUUUCCCAAAACCAACCAUACUUUACCCAGAACUACACUACACGUACAUUCUUUUACGUGCACAUCUGGCAUUUUCAGCACACUAUGAGCAUGUGCGUGUGUUACAACUUUUCAUUUAAAAAAUCAACUCCUGGGUCAUUGUCCACUUUUUUAAACUUUUCAUUUGCUCAUAAUUUCAGAUUUACAGAAGAGUUGCAAAAUAGUUCCUAUAUGCCUUUCACCCAGAUUCCACUAGUGUUAGUAUUUUACAUGACCAUGGUAUAUUUAUCAAAACUAAGAAAAUAACAUAGGUACAAGUACUAUUAACUGAACUGCAGAGUUUAUUCAGACUUAAGCAGUUCUUCCACUAAUGCCCUUUUUCUGUUCCAGCAACCAAUCAAGGAUAUUGUCACCGGGGGUCCUUGCUCCCAGAGCUCCCAAGAUGGUGGUGGGCUGCUUCCGAGAUGGGGGCAAGCCUCAUGUUCUCUGACCUGGGGUUCUUGGCCUCAUGGAUUACAAGGAAUGGAAUUUUGGGCUAUGUGGUGAGUGUUAUAGCUCAAUUAGAAGCCGUGGGUCACGGAAGAGAACUGUGGAACCCAGUGACUAGUGUUCAGCUCGAUUAGGACCAACCUGGGACUUAGCUGUGCAGGAACAAUGGCAAGCCUUUAGCCCAACUUGGGAGCAGCAAUGGGCACCUCGCUGGAUCAGGAGCACAGCGGACACCCUGCCAGAUCCGGAGGGAUGGAAGUCAGCGGCGGGUCUGCGAAGGCCGCAAACAGCAGCGGUGGACAGCGAGCGAAAGCUCAGCUCAAGCCGUAACAAACACGGACCAGAAGAGAGUGCAGUUGCAAGAUUUAAUAGAAUGAAAACACAGCUCCCAUGCAAAGGGAGGGGACCCAAAGUGGGUAGCUGUUGCCGGCUCCAAUGCCUGGGUUUCUAUCCCGAUCAUUGUCCCUCCCGCUGUGCUCUUAGGCAAUAGAUGAUUGGCUAUUUCUUUACCUACUGUUUUUGCCUAAUUAGCAUUUUAGUUAGUUCUCUUUACUACCUGAUUGGUCGGAUGUGAGCUAAGUGCAAGCCCCUUGUUUAAAUGUGGAUGCAGUCAACUUCUCAGCUAAGCUUAGGGAUUCUUAGUCGGCCUAGGAAAUCCAGCUAGUCCUGUCUCUCAGUAUCACAGUACAUUUACUUGUCAUGUCUUAGCCUUGGCCAGUUUGUAAUAGUUUCUUGCUCCUACCUUGUCUUUCAUGACCUUGCUAUGAAGAUGAAAGCACGCUCUCUUGACUUCAGUCCUCCCACCUUGGCUUCCCAAAGUGCUUGGGAUUACAGGCAUGAGCAACCACACCCAGCCUAUAGUUUAACUUUAAAACAAGAACGAUAAUGAUCCCUUCCUGAAACUAACCCCCUCCUUGUUUGGGGACAAAAACCGUUUUUGUAAAACUAGUGGAAGUCCACAAGUUUAGAAUUUUGGUAGGAACCUGAAUUCUGUAAGAUGCAGGCAUAAACUCUAACCAGUUUUUGCUUUUAUAAUCUGCCUUUUUGUAACUGCUUACUACUCCAGAGUCACAUAGCCAGUGGUCACAAGAUUUAUAACAUCUCCAAUUGUCACUAUAGAUAAUGUCACUAUUGUAAAACCUAAAACUAGUGUUUGAGUUAUUUUUCAGACUUUACAUUCUGAUGGACCAACUGGUGCCACUGGGACCAGUAACCCAUAGCAAAAAAUGGACUCAGUUGAUCCUGUGACCCCCUUCAAGAACCGAUUCAACACAAGAAGACAGUUUCAACAGCCCUAUGAUUUCAUCCCUGACCCAGCCAAUCACCAUUCCCCAUUCUCUAGCCUCCUGAUGGGCAGGAGGCUAGAGAGGUUCAAAGUUUUUCAUCCUUGAAAGACUGUAGCCUCCAAAUUCUCAGGAAGGCAGAUUUGAGAAUUAUCUCUUAUACUUGCUUGGCCACCCUGCAAUUAUUAAACUCUUUUUCUGCUGCAAUCCUGUCGUUCUCAGUUUAUUGGCUUUUUUCUAGGCAGCAGCCAAGAAGAACCCACAUGGUAACAUUCUCCUGAUUAGACUGAGGUUGUGAGUUUUUAGGAAGCACCCCACAAACAGGUUGUGGCUUUCUCAUAGUGUGAUAUCAGAUGGCAUGAUAUCAACAUGACUUUUUACUGGUUAAUUGACCAUGAUUACAUGUAUUAAAUUAACUGAAAUUUGUCCUGAGGCUGCCUCCCUACCUUUAGGGCCGAUGUAAGGACUGCAACCUACCUUGGUAUGUAAACAAACAAAGCAUAGCUUGUUAAACUUUUAUAGCUGGCUGAGUCAGCCAGUUACAGAAGCUGAGCUAAAGCCAGUUACAGGCUGCCAACUAAUCAGACCAUUUCCAAAUAAGGCCAAAGUUGAGCUGUAACCAGUCAAGCUGUUUCUGUAGAGCACUUCUGUUUUCUGUCUGUAAAUACUCCCUGCCCACUUUAUAGAAUUCUCUGAACCUCUUCUAGUUCUGAGUAUUGUCUGAUUCAAGAAUCUUUCUUUGCUGAAAUGAACUCGGCUAAACUUAAUUUUCUAAAAUUUGUCUUUUAACACUUGGUUAAGGUGGUGUCUGAUAGGUUUCUCCCUAUUUUUCCCUUUCCAGUCUAUAUACAGAAGUGGGUCUACAUGUCCAGCCCACACUCAAGGGGAAAGGAAAUAAGCUCCAUUUUAAAUUUGUGGUUAUAUUUUUAAAUUACCACACUGAUUAGUAAAUUCAGGGAGAGAUUCUUUGAGACUAUGCAAAUACCCUAUUUCUACUUUUCUACUGAUUUUAGUUAUCAUUGGUGGAUCUUGGCUGCAACCAUUACUACUGUGGUGUUCCAAAUGGUGAUUUGUUGUGUGAACUCUGAAAACUUGAGACAGGUCUCAGUUAUUAGAAAGUUUGUUUGCGGCCGGGCGCUAUGGCUCACGCCUGUAAUCCCAGCACUUUGGGAAGCCAAGGCGGGUGGAUCAUGAGGUCAGGAGUUCAAGACCAGCCUGACACUCUGUCUUAAAAAAAAAAAAGAAAGUUUGUUUUGCCAAGGUUGAGGAUGCAGGCCUGUGACACAGCCUCAGAAGGUCCUGACAUGUGCCCAAGAUGGUCGGAGCACAGCUUGGUUUUAUACAUUUCAAGGAAACAUGAGACAUCAAUUAACAUAUGUAAAAUGAACAUUGGUUCUGUCCAAAAAGGCGGCAAAAGCGGGACAACUGAAAGCAGGGAGGGUGCUUCCACGUCAAAGCAAGAGAGCAUUCUGCCAGUGGACUGCACGGUGACUCAGACUGCAACUCUUCCCUGCUGGCCUACCCUGCAGAUUUUUGAACCAAGGAAGCCUUCAUAUUUAUGUAAACCUUCAGAGAUUUCUACAUUAUUCCAGGAUCAGCAUAAAAUGAAGAAAUCCUAUGGAUCCUUGUCAUUUGAAGAUGUGACUGUGGGCUUCACCCAGGAGGAGUGGCAGCAUCUGGACCCUGCUCAGAUGACCCUGUACAGGGAUGUGAUGCUAGAGAACUACAGCCACCUCGUCUCAGUGGGAUAUUGCAUCCCUAAACCAGAAGUGAUCUUCAAAUUGGAACAAGGAGAGCAGCCAUAGACAUUAGAGGAAGAGCCCCCAGGCCAGAGAUACCCAGAUCAUCCAGAAGCAAUAAGGAAAAAGAGCAACACAACUUUAUCUUAUGACAAUAGAGGAUAUCUGAAACCCCAAAUCAAUACAAGUGGAAAUGCUGCCAGAAUCACUGAAAAAUUAAGGAGGUCUAUAUGUACCAGCAGAUGAAAAGAAACAAAAACAUUUCUGGUGCUUGAAGGAACUGGUAAUAUACUUGACAGAGAUAAAGUACAUACUCUGAGGUGCAAAGCUUAAAUCUCUCUUGGAAUAACAUCAGUGCUGUGCACAGGACAGCUGGAGCUCCUUUGAAUGCAGUUUGGUUCUGUGAAGCUGAUGUAGGGUUACGUAUGGAAACAGACACACAAGUCAUAUUUUUCUGUGACAAUGCAAGAGAUGAGACUUUCCAUUUCAGAAAAAAAAUGUUACAGACACCUGUAUGUGGGGAAAUAAACUUACAUGCUAUCUUAGCUUGUAUUCCUACAAACAAUUUGAAAUAAAAAUUUACUCAAUAACUAUUGGUCAGGAUGGGCAGACCUACUGCAGAAGUGAGGAAAUGGGGAAUAAGGCUGGUUAGGACAAAGAGAAAGUACAAGAGGGUGAUAACAGAGCAAGCCAUUACUAAGGCUACUCUGGCAAGAAAGGAGCGACAAUCUGGGUUGAUGCAUAAACUGAGUUUGGUGUAUGUGCAAAACACUUGUUCAUAAGAAGCUCUCUUGUUAGGUUAAGACAUGGCUCUGUUCCCUUUACCUAGUAAAACUGAUGGAGUGUAAAAGCUCAUGUCCUUUGAAGCUGAGUAAUCCAAAAGGAACCAGCAUAAAAUGCCCCACAAAACUACUGCAAGAAAAAAGAGGUGAAAAAGAUUAGAAAAAAAAAGUAGGUGAUGAAAUGUCACCUGAUCAAAGUGGACAUAAAGUAGAUAAAUAAUUGGGCCAAAUAAUAAACCAUGAAUUUCAAAAAGGACUAAUUGAAUUGAUUACCUGCAUGAUAUGAGAGUUCAAGAAGGAUGUUAAGGCAACAGUAUAAUGUUUUAAUUCAUUUAAUAAAAUGCAUUCUGGGAUGUCAGGCUGAGAAAAGAAUUGGAAGAGAAAAUAAGAACCACAGUAAAGAAAACAAAUUGGGGCCAGGGACGGUGGCUCACACCUGUAAUCCCCGCACUUUGGGAGGCCAAGGCCAGUGGAUCACUUGAGGUCAGGAGUUUGAGACAGGCCUGGCCAACAUAGUGAAACCCCAUCUCUACUAAAAAUACAAAAAAUUAGCUGGGAAUGGCGGCACACCUGUAAUCCCAGUUACUUAGGAAGCUGAGGCAGGAGAAUAACUUGAACCCAGCAGGCAGAGGCUGCAGUGAGUCAAGAUCACACCACUGCACUCUAGCCUGGGCAACAGAAUGAAACUCCAUCUCAAAAAAAAUAAAAGCAAAUUGGAGGAUUCCCAAAGAAUAGGCAUUGCUGAAAUGUAGAUUAGAAAUAAAUGUGGAAAGCCUUUCAAGCAAGAAGAAACUGAAGUAAAUAAAAGGUGAAUAUUGCAUAAAGAAGAUAGUAUAAAAGAUAUUUCACAUAUAUGCUAUUACAUACAGUUGAUUCCCCAAAGUAGAAAAUGAAAUAAAUAGAACCAAUAUUGAAAAUAUUCCAAUAACACUUUUUGGGGAAAAGAAGAUACAAUUGAAUCUACAUAAAAAGACAAACCAUCCCUCAGGAAGGCAGACCAACAAUGAUCAACAUCGUGAUAUAUUCCUAAUAAUAUUACUAGACUUCAAAGAUAAAGAAUCAUUUUGACAGCCAGUCAAUAUAAGAAAAAAGUCCAGCUGAUCUCAGCCUUUUCCAUAACAAAGUUUGCUAAAAAAAACUGAUAAAAGUCUGCAGAGCAAUUGCUACAAAAUCAUUAGGGUGGGUCAAAUUAAGAACUUUAUACCAGGUUAAAGAGCGAUUCUUUAACAAAAAAGAGGAAACCUUUUUUUGAAUAGGCAAGAAUUCUGGGCCCUUUCUCCCUAAGACCUUUUAUUAGAGGAUGAAUAUCAGAUAACCAAGAAGUGACACAAAAAGCAUGGUAAAAAUAUUGGUGGUAGCCUCUGAAUUUAAUUGAGGAACUAAUUCUAAAGCAAAUGUGAGAAUGUGUUAUUGAAAACCUGGGCGUUAUAGACUGUAUUUAAUUUGAUUAAGUGGAGGCUAAAAACAAGUGGGAAGAAUGACGGUAUUCUAAUAAAGCGAAUUAUGUUAAAAUGCAGUGUAUACAUUCCUAAGAAUCACUGAUCUUUGCAAAUGAGUACAAUAAAAAUCAUAGGACUAAUGGGAAAAUGAGGUCAAGGUCUAACACUCAAAAACUUUCUGUGUCAGUGAUACACAACAGUGAAGUCUUCAGUUGCAAUUUUGGAUUGAAUUUCUCCUUUUGAUUAUUUUGGUUUUUGCUUUAUGAAUUUUGGAGCAUUAUUAAGUUGUACAUAUUAGGAUCCUUAUGUCCACUUCAUGAAUUAACCACUUAAUAAUUAUGUAAUGUCUCUCUUUAUACCUAGUAAUACUCUUUGUUCUAAACACUACUU
rnacentral:lncRNA from 1 species